CCUACGGGGGGCUGCAGUCGAGAAUCUUCGUCAAUGUGCGAAAGCAUGAACGAGCGAUGCCGCGUGCCGGAUGAAGGCCUUCGGGUUGUAAACGGCUGUCACAGGGGAAUAAAGCAUGACUGUACCCUGAGAGGAAGCCACGGCUAACUACGUGCCAGCAGCCGCGGUAAUACGUAGGUGGCGAGCGUUGUUCGGAUUUAUUGGGCGUAAAGGGUUCGCAGGGGGUUGGACAAGUCUGAUGUGAAAUCUCAUGGCUCAACCAUGAAAUUGCAUUGGAAACUAGCCGACUAGAGUACCGGCGAGGAAAGCGGAACUCCAGGUGUAGCGGUGGAAUGCGUAGAUAUCUGGAAGAACACCGAAAGCGAAGGCAGCUUUCUGGACGGUUACUGACCCUCAGGAACGAAAGCGUGGGGAGCAAACAGGAUUAGAUACCCGAGUAGUC
rnacentral:rRNA from 1 species